UACGAAGGGGGCUAGCGUUGUUCGGAAUUACUGGGCGUAAAGCGUGCGCAGGCGGCUUCUCAAGUCAGGGGUGAAAGCCCAGAGCUCAACUCUGGAAUUGCCUUUGAGACUGAGUGGCUUGAGUACGAGAGAGGUGAGUGGAAUUCCCAGUGUAGAGGUGAAAUGCGUAGAUAUCAGGAGGAACACCGAUGGCGAAGGCAGGUCUCUGGGCUGACACUGACGCUCAUGCACGAAAGCGUGGGGAGCAAACAGG
rnacentral:rRNA from 1 species